ensembl:misc_RNA Metazoa_SRP Metazoan signal recognition particle RNA
GCCAGGCACGGUGGCACGUGCCUGUAGUCCCAGCUACUUGGGAGGCUGAGGUGGGAUAAUUGCUUGAACCCAGGAGGUGGAGGUUGUAGUGAGCUGAGAUUUCGCCACUGCACUCCAGCCUGGGUGACAGAGCAAGACUCCAUCUCAA